rnacentral:lncRNA from 1 species
CUUUUAGGGAUCUACCAUUUGAUUUUUAUGGGGGGGCUAGGAUGAAAUUUGAAAAAAAAUAGGCAGGACAGGAGUUUUGAGUAAAAAAAAAGGCAGGAUGAGACACUUGCAAAAAAAAAAAGUCAGGACGACAAUUUAGGUAAAAAAAAGUCAGGAUAAACUAAUAAAAAAAAAAAGGCAGGACCGAAUAGAGUGAAAAAUAAAAAGGCAGGACAGAGAUUACAACUAAAAAAAAAUGCAGGACAAAAUUUUUCAUCCUAGCCCCCCAUAAAAAUCAAAUGGUAGCUCCCUUAUUAC